rnacentral:tRNA from 1 species
CGGGAUGUAGCGCAGCCAGGUAGCGCGCUGCGUUCGGGACGCAGAAGCCGGGAGUUCAAAUCUCCCCAUCCCGAC